AGCUCCAAUAGCGUAUAUUAAAGUUGUUGCAGUUAAGAAGCUCGUAGUUGGAUUUGUGGCAGUCGGAAGCGUCCUUGCACAUAGUGUUAGUGUACGCUUGCGUCGCCAUCCUUGGGUGGAACCUGUGUGGCAUUAGGUUGUCGUGCAGGGGAUGCCCAUCGUUUACUGUGAAAAAAUUAGAGUGUUCAAAGCAGGCUUAUGCCGUUGAAUAUAUUAGCAUGGAAUAAUAAGAUAGGACCUUGGUACUAUUUUGUUGGUUUGCGCACCGAGGUAAUGAUUAAUAGGGACAGUUGGGGGUAUUCGUAUUCCAUUGUCAGAGGUGAAAUUCUUGGAUUUUUGGAAGACGAACUACUGCGAAAGCAUUUACCAAGGAUGUUUUCA
rnacentral:rRNA from 1 species